GGUGAAGCACUUAUGUCUUACAAGCAGUGGCCGGUUUCCAGUAUGGAUCCCAGACCUGCAGAGGUGUCCUCUUUGAAAUCCAGAGGCAUGAGGAAUCUGCCAAGACUUAGAGUUUCAUUCCAGACCCAAAGCUCAGAUCAUACUCGGUGAAGGAGCUGCCACAGGGAGAUGGGAUUGGAUGGCUUGGAAGAGCACGAGGCAAACAAUGGGGCUGAUGCUGGGCUCCAUCCACAGCCCUGCUCCAAAGGCCAGCUCCUGGCCCUUCAGCUCCUUGUAGCCAGAAGAGUUGAAAGAGGACCGAGCUGGUGGCCUUUCCUGAGGAUGGCAAGCAGCUGUGACCUGCCAAGACAAGCAUGUUUUUCUCAGCUCAAUUGGUUUUCUCAUCACCUGUUCUUAAAUCUGCCAGCUGCUACAGAGAUUGAGAAUGUUGAGAUGACUAAACAACAAGGACCCUGUGCAUGUGUCUUUGGAGCUGAUAGGAUGGCACAUGGAAAACAAACAGAAAUGACUGGGAACAACUUUGCCACACCAAUGAUUCAGUGUGAUGUACCUGAACGCUGCAUGUGCACACAGGAACUUCAGCUCCAAAAGGAUACUGGCAAUGAAAUGGAAACAGUUUCUCCCUCUAGUUAUAACAGGAUUACAAGGGGAAACAAGACCAGGAAAGGACAGAAAAGAUAG
rnacentral:lncRNA from 1 species